rnacentral:ribozyme from 16 species
ACCAAAGAAAAAGAAAAGAAUCGAUAAUUAUAUCAAUAACUCGGAUGAUUCCUGCAUCCAUAUUUCGUGUGCAUCAUU